rnacentral:tRNA from 1 species
UCCCUGGUGGCUCAGAGGGUAAAGCGUCUGCCUGCAAUGCAGGAGACCCAGGUUUGAUCCCUGGGUUGGGAA